rnacentral:rRNA from 2 species
AACGGAUCUCUUGGCUCUCGCAUCGAUGAAGAACGCAGCGAAAUGCGAUAAGUAAUGUGAAUUGCAGAAUUCAGUGAAUCAUCGAAUCUUUGAACGCACCUUGCGCCCCUUGGUAUUCCGAGGGGCAUGCCUGUUUGAGUGUCAUGUUAAUCUC